AUGUGUGAAGAAUAAAUUCACUAUACACCAUUGCACUAUAUAAUGCAUUAUUUAAAAUAUCCCUAUAUCUCCACCUCUGACUUCUUUUUCAGCUCAUGCCCACAUUGCUGAGACAAAUUCUGAUCCACUUCCUCUGACUGCACCCUCGUCCCAGUCGGGAGACAGGCAGGCCGGGGUCUCCUCUGCAGACUGUGACUGUGUCCUGAGUCAGACCAUAGAGAUCACAGUAUGACACGGCAUGAAGAUCCUGCACCUCUCGAAUCAUCACAUCCAUCACUUUGUGCAAAUAUUUAAUUUGAAUAUUGCAACUUGUUCUAUACAUUCAAUACUUUUCCUGACUUGUAAAGUUACUUAUAAGAGACUGGUGAAAAAUUCAGUUAAAAACACACAGAGAGAUUCUAUUUUACAGCAUAACCACUGAAUACU